GUCGCUGGCAGGGCGACAGAAAUGGAAGAUACCGCAGCCCAACUUCGCCGUCGGAGACGUCGUGCUGGAGGUGGACAAAAAUCUGAGGCGCAGUCAGUGGAAUCUCGGGCGGAUCAUCCACGUCUUCCCCGGGCCCGAUGGAUUAGUGCGAGCAGUGGACGUCCGCUUUGACCGAGGCGUCUUCCGUCGGGGAAUAAACACGCUGGCUCUGCUGGAGUCAGCAUCCGUCGAGUCCAGUCCGGAUGCGACGGAUGCGGGGGAGAAUGGUGCGGCGCCAGCUUAAGUUUUCGCCACGAGAGGGACGGCCUCGCAUGUCGUUUGUCUUUUGUCACCUUGCUUGCCCUUUGUCCCUCCUGUCAUUCCGCGUUUUAGAUGAUGUAAUGGCGUUUUGCUCACGUCACAUGGUCAGUGUCGCACUUAUUUGUCCAUCACCUUUGAUUGUGUAGUGUUGUGGUGAUCGCUUCUACUAGAAUAUUGGCCAGACCUAGGUCUGGGGUGAAACGUCUGUCAGGCAGCCUUCGUGCUCGUCUCCACCUGUCUUUCCCUUGCUUUCUGUGUGUACGUUGAAGUGAAUGUCAGUGCUGGUUGUGUGAGUGUGAUCCACACCCGCUCAGAGACUAGGUGGAAUAACCUAGCCUAUGAGUAUCAUAUUCAUACCCAUACACAUAUCAUUCAUCAUCAAUAGCCAUCUUCGAGUCAUUACCACUGAGCUCCCGAAACAA